AGGUUUUUCACCUCUUCUGUCCCUAGAGAUCUCCAGGGAGUCCCCUUUGGGAGAGAUAAAGCAGGGUAUAAACAAACAAACAAACAAACAAACAAAUAAAAUAAUAAUACCAAGAUUGAAGGGUUUGCUGUUAGAAGUAGCAGCAGGAGCAAAACAUUAGUCUUGGUCAUAUGAUCACCCAGUACUUGAGGCUUUCACCUCCCUUGAAAUUCAGCAAUCCGACUUAUACCAAGAGCAGCCCCACAACAGUGAUUUUCCUCAGUGACCAGCUGAGAGGAAAAGAGAGAGCAAGUGAGGAAAAUCACUGGUUUUAUUUCCAAACAAUCCUCAAUGCAUUACUUAUUGCAUGGGAUGAAGUCCUAGGUCUUUACAUGCUGUUAAUCCUGUAUUCCCUGACAUGCAAUAUUACAUGUUAAUUCUCCUUGUUGGAAUUUUACUGCACUUAGCAGCCCCUCAGCCCAUCUUAUGGCUCAGAUAGAUGUAGGCAGGGAGUGUUUCUCCUUCAAAUAUCAAGGGCAACAGGUGCGUCAGUUUAAUAAUACUUCAGAUUCAGCACUUGGCCCAUCAAUGCUGGCUGUGAAUGUUUAAUUGCUUGUAUCACAAACUGAAUGCCAUCUGAUUUAGAGAGCUAUUUCACUUGCAGGUCUGUGAGACCUUUGUAUUAAACUUUCCAGAAACAAAUAAAUUCAGUUAUUGGCACAUAUUCAUUUGGGGGAAAGAAAUUGCCUCAGAUCGAUACGGUAUCUCUACCACAAAAGGUUCUGUGGCCAUAUUUCCAUUUGUUCAUAUUGCUGGUUUAAGAAACAGAGCCAGCUCUUCAAAGAGUUUACCUUGGCUCUUGUCUUAGCACACACAUAUUAAAUUUAUCCUGAUUAUUGGAUUUGUCGCAUGCAAGGCUUCCUUCAUGACCUUUUGCUUAAACUCUUUUGCAAACUAUAGCUGAAUGUGCGUACCAUUGAAAUGUCAGGAUUAUUUCCAGUUCUCAGCAGUUUGAUGAUGGUUCAGUAGACAUGGGUUAAUAGGACUCCUUUGUGGAUAAGAGUCCAAACGUAAGCAGGAAAAAAUUGGGAUAAAUUAUUGGAAGGACAGACAGAAUUCAAAAGCUUGUCCACUCAUAGGGAAUUGUGACAUCUAUAUAGUCAUUUCAAAUUUUCCUAUUGGACCAUUAUUUCUAUAAAUCCCUACCCUAUUUAAUAUGUUCACUUUAAACAUAUUCUUUUUGAUAUUUUUUUCAAUGACAAAUUGUGCAACAAAGGGACAGAAGCUGUGGUUUUCAGUGUCAUGCGACUUUCACAUAAAAUCCCACAAUGCCUAUGGAUUCCUCCAUUUCUUCUUUUUCAUAGUGCUGAAUGAAGCUCAUGCCACCAAUCUAAACAUAUCUUAAAUGAUUUUCCAAAAGAUAAAUCAAUGUUGAUGCCUUGCAUUGACCUUUCGGGGCUCUGGCAUUUGCCCAACCUUGCUGGAUGCCACUGCUAGCCUACACAUUCCCUCUCCAUCUAUAGUUUGCAUUGUGUUUGUUUUUCUAACUAGCUCUGGAGCUUGUGUAUGGGGAAGAAUUUGAAUAUAACAUGUCCUCCUUCUCUUUCUAGGGGGUUGUCAGUAUCAUGCUCUCAGCUGCUGCAUUUCUUAAUCAGACAGUGCAAGUAUUAACCAUGGUUUUUAUGUGUUUUUUUUUAACAAGAUGGAACAAACAAACAUGGUUGUCAUGGCACCAUGAGUCCACCCAAUGAUUUCAUGGCAAAUUGGAAUUGGAACUUGGCUUUUCUUGUUCUUUCUCCCUUUCCACUGGACUGGGUUGUCUCUCCUUUGUGUAACAAAAUUCUUGGAAUACAAGAAACAGAACUUGGAGAAAGACUGGUCCCCGUGUCCUAUUAAUCUCUUUCAGUCUGCCCACACACAUCUGCCUCUCCUGACCCAUUUUGUGCACUUUAUUUUGUGUUGUUUUUCAAAUGGCUAAUGGUGGGGCGGAGUGGAGCCUUGACUUUUUGUUUUCUUAGGAUACAUGACAAAUUAAUGAAGUGACC
rnacentral:lncRNA from 1 species